rnacentral:rRNA from 1 species
AUGAACGCUGGCGGCGUGCCUAAUACAUGCAAGUCGAGCGCACAGAUGAGGAGCUUGCUCCUCUGACGUUAGCGGCGGACGGGUGAGUAACACGUGGAUAACCUACCUAUAAGACUGGGAUAACUUCGGGAAACCGGGGCUAAUACCGGAUAAUAUAUUGAACCGCAUGGUUCAAUAGUGAAAGACGGUUUUGCUGUCACUUAUAGAUGGAUCCGCGCCGCAUUAGCUAGUUGGUAAGGUAACGGCUUACCAAGGCAACGAUGCGUAGCCGACCUGAGAGGGUGAUCGGCCACACUGGAACUGAGACACGGUCCAGACUCCUACGGGAGGCAGCAGUAGGGAAUCUUCCGCAAUGGGCGAAAGCCUGACGGAGCAACGCCGCGUGAGUGAUGAAGGUCUUCGGAUCGUAAAACUCUGUUAUUAGGGAAGAACAAAUGUGUAAGUAACUAUGCACGUCUUGACGGUACCUAAUCAGAAAGCCACGGCUAACUACGUG